UACGUAGGGGGCUAGCGUUGUCCGGAUUUAUUGGGCGUAAAGAGCGUGUAGGCGGCCAGGUAGGUCUGCUGUGAAAACUCGAGGCUCAACCUCGAGACGUCGGCGGAAACCAUCUGGCUAGAGUCCGGAAGAGGAGAGUGGAAUUCCGUGGUGUAGCGGUGAAAUGCGCAGAUAUCGGGAGGAACACCUGUGGCGAAAGCGGCUCACUGGACCACAACUGACGCUGAGGCGCGAAAGCUAGGGGAGCAAACAGG
rnacentral:rRNA from 1 species